rnacentral:rRNA from 1 species
AUGCACGCUGGCGGCGUGCCUAAUCCAUGCCAGUCGCGCGAACAGACGAGGAGCUUGCUCCUCUGACGUUAGCGGCGGACGGGUGAGUAACACGUGGAUAACCUACCUAUAAGACUGGGAUAACUUCGGGAAACCGGAGCUAAUACCGGAUAAUAUAUUGAACCGCAUGGUUCAAUAGUGAAAGACGGUUUUGCUGUCACUUAUAGAUGGAUCCGCGCCGCAUUAGCUAGUUGGUAAGGUAACGGCUUACCAAGGCAACGAUGCGUAGCCGACCUGAGAGGGUGAUCGGCCACACUGGAACUGAGACACGGUCCAGACUCCUACGGGAGGCAGCAGUAGGGAAUCUUCCGCAAUGGGCGAAAGCUUGACGGAGCAACGCCGCGUGAGAGAUGAAGGUCUUCGGAUCGUAAAACUCUGUUAUUAGGGAAGAACAAAUGUGUAAGUAACUAUGCACGUCUUGACGGUACCUAAUCAGAAAGCCACGGCUAACUACGU